GGGUGUAUAGCUCAGUGGUAGAGCGUUCGGCUUAAAAUCGAGAGGUGUCCGGUUCGAAUCCGGGUAUCCCCU